rnacentral:rRNA from 1 species
AGUGAACGCUGGCGGCGUGCCUAACACAUGCAAGUCGAACGAUGAAGAGCAGCUUGCUGCUCGGAUCAGUGGCGCACGGGUGAGUAAUGCAUAGGUAAUGUGCCCCUUAGUCUGGGAUAGCCACUGGAAACGGUGAUUAAUACUAGAUACUCCUUCUUGUCUUAAGGCAAGUCGGGAAAGUUUUUCGCUAAGGGAUCAGCCUAUGUCCUAUCAGGUAGUUGGUGAGGUAACGGCUCACCAAGCCAAUGACGGGUAUCUGGUUUGAGAGGAUGAUCAGACACACUGGAACCGAGACACGGUCCAGACUCCUACGGGAGGCAGCAGUGAGGAAUAUUGCACAAUGGAGGAAACUCUGAUGCAGCAACGCCGCGUGGAGGAUGACGCAUUUCGGUGUGUAAACUCCUUUUAAGAGGGAAGAUUAUGACGGUACCUCUUGAAUAAGCACCGGCUAACUCCGUGCCAGCAGCCGCCGCAG